CUAAAACUUUCAACAACGGAUCUCUUGGUUCUGGCAUCGAUGAAGAACGCAGCGAAAUGCGAUAAGUAAUGUGAAUUGCAGAAUUCAGUGAAUCAUCGAAUCUUUGAACGCACAUUGCGCCCCUUGGUAUUCCGAGGGGCAUGCCUGUUCGAGCGUCA
rnacentral:rRNA from 2 species